rnacentral:rRNA from 1 species
UACGGAGGAUCCGAGCGUUAUCCGGAUUUAUUGGGUUUAAAGGGUGCGCAGGCGGGGGAUUAAGUCGGCGGUGAAAUUUUGCAGCUCAACUGUAAAAGUGCCUUCGAAACUGGUUUCCUUGAGUGUAGAUGAAGUAGGCGGAAUUUGUGGUGUAGUGGUGAAAUGCAUAGAUAUCACGAGGAACUCCGAUUGCGCAGGCAGCUUACUAAGCUACUACUGACGCUCAGGCACGAAGGCGUGGGGAUCAAACAGGAUUAGAUACCCCGGUAGUCCCU